AAGGAUCAUUACAGAAUUGUCAACAUGAGUUGUUGCUGGCCCCCAAACAGGGGCAUGUGCACACUCUGUUCACACAUCCACUCACACCUGUGCACCCUCUGUAGUCCUACAGUUGGGAGGACCUGUCCUCCUGCUGUGGUUCUGCGUCUUUACACACACACUGUAACAAAGUCUUAUGGGAUGUAUGCCGCGUUUAACGCAAUACAAUACAACUUUCAGCAACGGAUCUCUUGGCUCUC
rnacentral:misc_RNA from 1 species